rnacentral:rRNA from 1 species
AGCGAACGCUGGCGGCAGGCCUAACACAUGCAAGUCGAACGAACUCUUCGGAGUUUGUGGCGGACGGGUGAGUAACACGUGGGAACGUGCCUUUUGGUUCGGAAUAACUCAGGGAAACUUGUGCUAAUACCGAAUGUGCCCUUCGGGGGAAAGAUUUAUCGCCAUUAGAGCGGCCCGCGUCUGAUUAGCUAGUUGGUGAGGUAACGGCUCACCAAGGCGACGAUCAGUAGCUGGUCUGAGAGGAUGACCAGCCACACUGGGACUGAGACACGGCCCAGACUCCUACGGGAGGCAGCAGUGGGGAAUCUUGCGCAAUGGGCGAAAGCCUGACGCAGCCAUGCCGCGUGAAUGAUGAAGGUCUUAGGAUUGUAAAAUUCUUUCACCGGGGACGAUAAUGACGGUACCCGGAGAAGAAGCCCCGGCUAACUUCGUG